rnacentral:ncRNA from 1 species
ACUCUUAAUACUGAGAGUUUAUGCAGUAACCCACUGCGUAGCGGCUAGAACCCGCGUUUAACAUAAAGGAAAAACAAAUG